CUUGAAGAAAGAGCGAGAAGUGCAGAAAGACGCAGACGCCAGUUCAGUUCCCUGAGACUUAGAAGCGACUCGAGGCAGGAUGGGAGCAUAAAAGACAGCCAGGAUGCCAACGUCUCCGAGCAGUGAGUAGGAGUCUAAGAACUUGGAAAGAGUCAUGGACCUCCUCCAGUAUGUGAAAGCCACCACUGUGGAGCAAGUGGGAAAGCAGCAAUGUGAGAACGGAUUUAAUACACAGAGCAUCCAGAGAAAAAUAUCCAGCAAUCAGUUGGAGUUGAAAAGCCCAAGAAGGAGAGGGAGCAGAAGGAUGACUGCAUAUUUGGAUGAAAUUCACAUAUAGGAG